rnacentral:rRNA from 1 species
CCUACGGGAGACUGCAGUGAGGAAUAUUGGUCAAUGGGCGCGAGCCUGACCCAGCCACGCAGCGUGAAGGAUGACUGCCCUACGGGUUGUAAACUUCUUCUAUAAAGGAAUAAAGUGAGGCACGUGUGCCUCAUUGUAUGUACUUUAUGAAUAAGGAUCGGCUAACUCCGUGCCAGCAGCGGCGGUAAUACGGAGGGUCCGAGCGUUAUCCGGAUUUAUUGGGUUUAAAGGGAGCGUAGAUGGGUUGUUAAGUCAGUUGUGAAAGUUUGCGGCUCAACCGUAAAAUUGCAAUUGAUACUGGCAGUCUUGAGUACAGUAGAGGUAGGCGGAAUUCGUAGUGUAGCGGUGAAAUGCGUAGAUAUUACGAAGAACACCGGUUGCGAAGGCAGCUUGCUAAACGGCCACUGACAGUGAGGCGCGAAAGUGUGGGGAGCAAACAGGAUUAGAUACCCUUGUAGUC